rnacentral:rRNA from 1 species
UACGUAGGGUGCAAGCGUUGUCCGGAAUUAUUGGGCGUAUAGAGCUCGUAGGCGGUUUGUCGCGUCUGCUGUGAAAACGCGAGGCUCAACCUCGCGCCUGCAGUGGGUACGGGCAGACUAGAGUGCGGUAGGGGAGAUUGGAAUUCCUGGUGUAGCGGUGGAAUGCGCAGAUAUCAGGAGGAACACCGAUGGCGAAGGCAGAUCUCUGGGCCGUAACUGACGCUGAGGAGCGAAAGCAUGGGGAGCGAACAGG